CUUUCCCCCCAUAAUGGAACUAGUGGGGGCCUCAUCUUCAGUGAAGACCUCCUCCAUGCGGGCAUAUUUCUCCAUUCAGACCAGCAUGUCAGAGAAGUCCCGAGGAUAGGUCUUCACCAGUCGCCUCUUGAGGUCACUCUUUAGAAGUCUGCUCAUCAUUACGGAUAUCGUAAUCGAUUGAUCUAGAUCAUGAACCUCUAGAGUGAUCGCAUCAAAGUGGCUAACAAAAGAUCAGAUCGACUCGUCCUCCUUUUGCUUGACGGUAUAGAGAUAGUCGGACCGCUUCUGUUGAUGUUGGCUACUGACAAAAUGACCGAUGAAAGAUCGGCUCAACUACUUAAAAGAGUGGAUCA
rnacentral:lncRNA from 1 species